rnacentral:rRNA from 1 species
UACGGAGGGGGCAAGCGUUGUUCGGAAUUAUUGGGCGUAAAGGGCGCGUAGGCGGCAAAGAAAGUCGAACGUGAAAUCCCUCGGCUCAACCGAGGAAUUGCGUUUGAUACUACUUUGCUCGAGGCCGGGAGAGGAGAGUGGAAUUCCCAGUGUAGCGGUGAAAUGCGUAGAUAUUGGGAGGAACACCGGUGGCGAAGGCGGCUCUCUGGACCGGUUCUGACGCUGAGGCGCGAAAGCCAGGGGAGCAAACAGG